UACAGAGGUGGCAAGCGUUGUUCGGAAUUACUGGGCGUAAAGGGCGCGUAGGCGGUCUUGUAAGUCUUGUGUGAAAUCCCUCGGCUUAACUGAGGAACUGCACGGGAUACUGCGAGACUUGAGUUCGGGAGAGGGAAGCGGAAUUCCGGGUGUAGCGGUGAAAUGCGUAGAUAUCCGGAGGAACACCGGUGGCGAAGGCGGCUUCCUGGACCGAUUACUGACGCUGAGGCGCGAAAGCGUGGGGAGCAAACAGG
rnacentral:rRNA from 1 species